rnacentral:rRNA from 1 species
AGUGAACGCUGGCGGUAGGCCUAACACAUGCAAGUCGAACGACCGCACAGUAAGCGUUUGCCCUUACGGUUGGCGACUGGCGGGUGGGUAAGGCAUACAUAGGAAUCUACUUUUUCGUGGGGGAUAACGUAGGAACACUUACGCUAAUACCGCAUAUGACCUACGGGAGAAAGCAGUGGAUCUUCGGGGCUUGCGCGUCAGAUUGAGCUGAUGCCGGAUUAGCUAGUUGGUGGGGUAAAGGCACACCAAGGCAACGAUCCGUAGCUGGCCUGAGAGGAUGAUCGGCCACACUGGAACUGAGACACGGUCCAGACUCCUACGGGAGGCAGCAGUAGGGAAUAUUGCGCAAUGGGCGAAAGCCUGACGGAGCCAUGCCGCGUGAGUGAUGAAGGCCUUCGGAUUGUAAAGCUCUUUUAUUAGGAAAGAAAAACUGUGGAUGAAAACCCGCCUGUCUUGACGGUACCUAAUGAGAAAGCCCCGGCUAACUACGUG